rnacentral:rRNA from 1 species
UACGGGGGGGGCAAGCGUUGUUCGGAAUUACUGGGCGUAAAGGGCUCGUAGGCGGCCAACUAAGUCAGACGUGAAAUCCCCAGGCUUAACCUGGGAACUGCGUCUGAUACUGGAUGGCUUGAAUUCGGGAGAGGGAUGCAGAAUUCCAGGUGUAGCGGUGAAAUGCGUAGAUAUCUGGAGGAAUACCGGUGGCGAAGGCGGCAUCCUGGACCGAGAUUGACGCUGAUGAGCGAAAAGCGUGGGGAGCGAACAGG